rnacentral:misc_RNA from 1 species
GAUGAAGAACGUAGCGAAAUGCGAUAAGUAAUGUGAAUUGCAGAAUUCAGUGAAUCAUCGAAUCUUUGAACGCACCUUGCACCCUUUGGCAUUCUGAAGGGUAUGCUCGUUUGAGUGUCAUUGUACUCUCACACUCCCGAUCUUUGCAUUGGGAGCAGUGGACUUGGGUUUGCUGCUUCACCGUCGCUUACCUCAAAUAGGUUAGUGCAACUCUUGGUUGGACAUAGUACGGCGUGAUAAGUGUUCUUCGCCGGUGCCUCGCAAAGAGGGUGGCCGAUCGGGAUGUUGUGCUCCAAACCGUCUUCGGACAAUCUCUGACGACUUGACCUCAAAUCGAGUAAGACUACCCGCUGAACUUAAGCAUAUCAAUCAGCGGAGGA